rnacentral:lncRNA from 1 species
CAGGAUGAUUCUGCGAACUCCUUUAGGGAAAAACACUGGUCACAUCACGACUGUUUUACUAGCUGUGAGACCACCAUUGUACUGGCUACCAUAACAUUUCUUGGUUUUCUUUCUAGACCUGAACUAGUUAUUUCCUACUCGCCUCCUGGAAUGGCUAAUAAAAUAAACACUAAAGCUUUGCAGUCCCCAAAAAGACCAUGAAGCCCUGAGAGUAAUGGAAAGGUUCCUGAAAUUGAGGUCACUGUGGAAGGU